rnacentral:rRNA from 1 species
AGUCGAGGGGUAUAGAGAGCUUGCUUUCUAGAGACCGGCGGAUGGGUGAGUAACGCGUAUGCAACCUACCUUUUACAGGGGAAUAGCCCGGAGAAAUUCGGAUUAAUGCUCCAUGGUUUAAUUGAAUGGCAUCGUUUGAUUAAUAAAGAUUUAUCGGUAAAAGAUGGGCAUGCGUAUCAUUAGCUAGUUGGUGUGGUAACGGCAUACCAAGGCUACGAUGAUUAGGGGUCCUGAGAGGGAGAUCCCCCACACUGGUACUGAGACACGGACCAGACUCCUACGGGAGGCAGCAGUGAGGAAUAUUGGUCAAUGGAGGCAACUCUGAACCAGCCAUGCCGCGUGCAGGAUGACGGUCCUAUGGAUUGUAAACUGCUUUUGUACGGGAAGAAAUGUAAUUACGUGUAAUUAUUUGACGGUACCGUAAGAAUAAGGAUCGGCUAACUCCGUGCCAGCAGCCGCGGUAAUACGGAGGAUCCGAGCGUUAUCCGGAAUUAUUGGGUUUAAAGGGUUCGUAGGCGGUUGAGUAAGUCAGUGGUGAAAUCUUAUAGCUUAACUAUAAAAUUGCCGUUGAUACUGCUUGACUUGAAUAGUAUGGAAGUAAUUAGAAUAUGUAGUGUAGCGGUGAAAUGCUUAGAUAUUACAUGGAAUACCAAUUGCGAAGGCAGAUUACUACGUACUUAUUGACGCUGAUGAACGAAAGCGUGGGUAGCGAACAGGAUUAGAUACCCUGGUAGUCCACGCCGUAAACGAUGGAUACUAGCUGUUCGGUUUUCGGACUGAGUGGCUAAGCGAAAGUGAUAAGUAUCCCACCUGGGGAGUACGUUCGCAAGAAUGAAACUCAAAGGAAUUGACGGGGGCCCGCACAAGCGGUGGAGCAUGUGGUUUAAUUCGAUGAUACGCGAGGAACCUUACCAAGGCUUAAAUGUAGAUUGACAGGUUUAGAGAUAGACUUUUCUUCGGACAAUUUACAAGGUGCUGCAUGGUUGUCGUCAGCUCGUGCCGUGAGGUGUCAGGUUAAGUCCUAUAACGAGCGCAACCCCUAUUGUUAGUUGCCAGCGAGUAGUGUCGGGAACUCUAACAAGACUGCCGGUGCAAACCGUGAGGAAGGUGGGGAUGACGUCAAAUCAUCACGGCCCUUACGUCUUGGGCUACACACGUGCUACAAUGGCCAGUACAGAAAGCAGCUACCAGGCAACUGGAUGCGAAUCUCAAAAACUGGUCUCAGUUCGGAUUGGAGUCUGCAACUCGACUCCAUGAAGCUGGAAUCGCUAGUAAUCGGAUAUCAGCCAUGAUCCGGUGAAUACGUUCCCGGGCCUUGUACACACCGCCCGUCAAGCCAUGGAAGCCGGGGGU